rnacentral:rRNA from 1 species
GAUGAACGCUGGCGGCGUGCCUAAUACAUGCAAGUCGAGCGAACAGACGAGGAGCUUGCUCCUUUGACGUUAGCGGCGGACGGGUGAGUAACACGUGGGUAACCUACCUAUCAGACUGGGAUAACUUCGGGAAACCGGAGCUAAUACCGGAUAAUAUUUCGAACCGCAUGGGUCGAUGGUGAAAGAUGGCUCUGCUAUCACUAAUAGAUGGACCUGCGCCGUAUUAGCUAGUUGGUAAGGUAACGGCUUACCAAGGCAACGAUUCGUAGCCGACCUGAGGGGGGGGUCGGCCACCCGGGAACUUGGCCACGGUCCAUGCGCCUACGGGAGGCAGCAGUAGGGAAUCUUCCGCAGUGGUCGAAAGCCUGACGGAGCAGCCCCGCGUGAGUGAUGAAGGUCUUCGGAUCGUAAAGCUCUGUUAUUAGGGAAGAACAAACGUGUAAGUAACUGAGCACUGCUUGACGGUACCGAGUCAGAAAGCCACGGCUAACUACGUG